UACGUAGGUGACGAGCGUUGUCCGGAUUUAUUGGGUUUAAAGGGUGCGUAGGCGGCUUUGUAAGUCAGUGGUGAAAUACUCCAGCUUAACUGGAGGGGUGCCAUUGAUACUGCGGAGCUUGAGUACAGAUGAGGUAGGCGGAAUUGACGGUGUAGCGGUGAAAUGCAUAGAUAUCGUCAAGAACACCGAUAGCGAAGGCAGCUUACUGGGCUGUAACUGACGCUGAUGCACGAAAGUGUGGGGAUCAAACAGG
rnacentral:rRNA from 1 species